rnacentral:rRNA from 1 species
GAAAACCACGGUGGUACAGGAUGGGCCCGCGUCUGAUUAGUUAGUUGGCAGGGUAACGGCCUACCAAGACGAUGAUCAGUAGCCGGCUUGAGAGAGUGGACGGCCACAUUGGGACUGAGACACGGCCCAGACUCCUGCGGGAGGCAGCAGUGGGGAAUAUUGCACAAUGGGGGAAACCCUGAUGCAGCAAUGCCGCGUGGGUGAAGAAGCACUCCGGUGCGUAAAGCCCUGUCAGCAGGGAAGAAAAUGACAGUACCUGACCAAGAAGCCCCGGCUAACUACGUGCCAGCAGCCGCGGUAAUACGUAGGGGGCAAGCGUUAUCCGGAUUUACUGGGUGUAAAGGGAGCGCAGGCGGUAUGGCAAGUCAGAUGUGAAAACCCAGGGCUCAACCCUGGGACUGCAUUUGAAACUGCCAUACUGGAGUGCCGGAGAGGUAAGUGGAAUUCCUAGUGUAGCGGUGAAAUGCGUAGAUAUUAGGAGGAACACCAGUGGCGAAGGCGGCUUACUGGACGGUAACUGACGCUGAGGCUCGAAAGCGUGGGGAGCAAACAGGAUUAGAUACCCUGGUAGUCCACGCUGUAAACGAUGAAUACUAGGUGUCGGGGUACAUAAGUACCUCGGUGCC